rnacentral:lncRNA from 1 species
UGGCCAUCCGAAUUUCCAAGGCUGAUUAUUGAAGGACAUUAAAGAUUGUUGAUGCCAUUGCCGUCCCCAAUGUCUAGGAUUCUUCAAAGGAGACAUGCAUUUAAGGGCUGCCGUUUCACUCUUCAAAGCUCCUUGGAAGAUGCCACUAGUGGCUUUGUACACUCCCUUGGCCGAACCUGGCAUACCUUUUUCAAUUCAAGGCUCCUCAUGCGCAUCAAAGACACCUUUCAAGGCUGUUCGUGUAGCUCAAUGGUCAGCCAAGCAUUGAAG